CUACGGGAGGCUCCAGUGAGGAAUAUUGGUCAAUGGCCGAGAGGCUGAACCAGCCAUCCCGCGUGCAGGAUGACGGCCCUAUGGGUUGUAAACUGCUUUUCUACGCCAAGAAAUCUGAUUACGUGUAAUUAGUUGACGGUAGCGUAGGAAUAAGCAUCGGCUAACUCCGUGCCAGGCAGCCGCGGUAAUACGGAGGAUGCAAGCGUUAUCCGGAUUCAUUGGUUUAAAGGGUGCGCAGGCGGGCUUGUAAGUCAGUGGUGAAAUACUGCCGCUUAACGGUAGAACUGCCAUUGAUACUGCAAGUCUUGAAUAUGGUUGAGGUAGGCGGAAUGUGUUGUGUAGCGGUGAAAUGCAUAGAUAUGACACAGAACGCCGAUUGCGAAGGCAGCUUACUAAGCCAUUAUUGACGCUGAGGCACGAAAGCGUGGGGAGCGAACAGGAUUAGAUACCCUCGUAGUC
rnacentral:rRNA from 1 species